AUGGCUUGCAGAGGUUCAAUUUCUUGGUGUGUUAAAUCACCCAAAUCUAGCAAAGCUUCUAGGAUAUUGCUCUAUAGAUGGAGAAAGAGGGAUCCAACGGCUAUUGGUAUGUGAAUAUAUGCCUAAUAGGAGCUUAGAAGAUCAUCUUUUCAACAGGGUUUUGAACCCUCUUCCUUGGAUCACGAGGUUACAAAUAAUGCUUGGUGCUGCUCAAGCUCGGAUUGGCUUAUCUACACGAGGGACUGGAAGUCCAGGUGAUAUAUCGAGAUUUCAAAUCCUCCAAUGUGCUCUUGGAUGAGGACUUUAAGCCGAAGCACUCAGACUUUGGGCUUGCUAGAUAAGGGCCAAAGGGUGACCGUACUCAUGUAUCGACGGCAGUAAGUAGAUAAUAGAUGACUUAUUUUAUUACUACCCCAAGUUCUUUUAGAAAUCAAUGUCAACUUCAUUUGGAGGUUGGCAGAAUCUUGUUUAAAUUGCAAUAUUGAGAGGACAAUUGGUAUUAGUUAUUAUUCGCC